CAGCAGCCGCGGUAAUACGGAGGGUGCAAGCGUUAAUCGGAAUUACUGGGCGUAAAGCGCACGCAGGCGGUCUGUCAAGUCAGAUGUGAAAUCCCCGGGCUUAACCUGGGAACUGCAUUUGAAACUGGCAGGCUAGAGUCUUGUAGAGGGGGGUAGAAUUCCAGGUGUAGCGGUGAAAUGCGUAGAGAUCUGGAGGAAUACCGGUGGCGAAGGCGGCCCCCUGGACAAAGACUGACGCUCAGGUGCGAAAGCGUGGGGAGCAAACAGGAUUAGAUACCCCUGUAUCCCUGUCUCUUAUACA
rnacentral:rRNA from 1 species